ACGGGUGAGUAAUACAUCGGAACGUGCCCUGUAGUGGGGGAUAACUAGUCGAAAGAUUAGCUAAUACCGCAUACGACCUGAGGGUGAAAGUGGGGGACCGCAAGGCCUCAUGCUAUAGGAGCGGCCGAUGUCUGAUUAGCUAGUUGGUGAGGUAAAGGCUCACCAAGGCGACGAUCAGUAGCUGGUCUGAGAGGACGAUCAGCCACACUGGGACUGAGACACGGCCCAGACUCCUACGGGAGGCAGCAGUGGGAAUUUUGGACAAUGGGGGCAACCCUGAUCCAGCAAUGCCGCGUGUGUGAAGAAGGCCUUCGGGUUGUAAAGCACUUUUGUCCGGAAAGAAAUCGCACUUACUAAUAUUAGGUGUGGAUGACGGUACCGGAAGAAUAAGGACCGGCUAACUACGUGCCAGCAGCCGCGGUAAUACGUAGGGUCCAAGCGUUAAUCGGAAUUACUGGGCGUAAAGCGUGCGCAGGCGGUUGUGCAAGACCGAUGUGAAAUCCCCGGGCUUAACCUGGGAAUUGCAUUGGUGACUGCACGGCUAGAGUGUGUCAGAGGGGGGUAGAAUUCCACGU
rnacentral:rRNA from 1 species